rnacentral:lncRNA from 1 species
GGCAGAGUUCCACAAAUAGCUGGGAAGUUAUAUUAAGAGGCUGUGUGAUGUCCUGCCAGGGUCUUUACUAGGUCUCCAGAGCACAAAGGUUAUACACUAUUUAUUUAUAGAGGAGGAUGAUACUGUACAAACCAUACGCGGUUUUAGUAAGCUUCAACUUCUAACCUAAGCACUUCUGUCAGUUUGUGGAAUAAUGACUGUACACCACAUUUUCAGAAAUGGUACUUGAGUACACCUGUGACUGAAAGGUGUCCUCUUUAGCUAAUGUAUGGUCUUGAUUCAAGAAAAAUCAUCAGACACGUGCAACAGAAUAAGCUGAGAAGUGCAAGAAUGUCUGACAAGGCCCUAAGGCUCUUUACAGCUUGCAGUGAAGCUUCAUUAUUGUGAAGAAUUUUAAGGAUCAUCACAUGUGGAGAGAACAAGAGGAAUUUAUUUUUCCUGCCAUGCUGCUGAUAUGGAUAUAUGCAAGGCACGUAAGCAACAGAUGCAUGAAGAAUGGCUCCUGGUUGUGCUGAAGGUCAGCUGCCUUGUGGUGAAGUAGCCCAAAGAAAAACUCACUUCGAAGAGAGAACUCCUUCUUGAAGUUCCUAUGUUUCCAAUUGCUCUGACCAUGCCGUUAGUAUAUUCCUGCAAGCGUUUAGAUUAAGAGAUUUAUUGGUGCUUAUAAAGAUCUAACUGCAGCUAACACAUCGCCUUCCAAACUGAAGGAAACAUUUUGCACAGUGGGAAAAGAAACGGUCCUUUCUUCCCUAAGCUUUAACAUAAGC